rnacentral:rRNA from 1 species
GAUGAACGCUGGCGGCGUGCCUAAUACAUGCAAGUCGAGCGAACGGACGAGAAGCUUGCUUCUCUGAUGUUAGCGGCGGACGGGUGAGUAACACGUGGAUAACCUACCUAUAAGACUGGGAUAACUUCGGGAAACCGGAGCUACUACCGGAUAAUAUUUUGAACCGCAUGGUUCAAAAGUGAAAGACGGUCUUGCUGUCACUUAUAGAUGGAUCCGCGCUGCAUUAGCUAGUUGGUAAGGUAACGGCUUGCCAAGGCAACGAUGCAUAGCCGACCUGAGAGGGUGAUCGGCCACACUGGAACUGAGGCACGGUCCAGACUCCUACGGGAGGCAGCAGUAGGGAAUCUUCCGCAAUGGGCGAAAGCCUGACGGAGCAACGCCGCGUGAGUGAUGAAGGUCUUCGGAUCGUAAAACUCUGUUAUUAGGGAAGAACAUAUGUGUAAGUAACUGUGCACAUCUUGACGGUACCUAAUCAGAAAGCCACGGCUAACUACGUG